CAUCGCGCGGGGGCCCGCCAAGCCGGUCCCGGGACACCUGUCCGGGGCCCGGAGGGGGCCGGAGCCGAGUGCCCCUCAGCCGGGGGGCGGGAGGCAGGCGCGCCGCGCGGGGCUGCGGGGAGCUCAGCGCCCACGGCGGCUCCCCCGGGUCGGUCUGGCAGGACCUGCGGCCUCCGGGGCUCGGGAGCCGAAGCGGGUUGUACGUUGAUGAGGUCACAGAGCGGCACGCGGAGCGGGGUGGGGGCAGAGGGUGAGGUCACAGAAGGAUGCUUACAGCUGGGGAGCCCCCCCCCGGGGGGGGGCAGGCCGGAGGCGGACCGGGUCACCUGGCACAGGACGGCCGCCCGGACGCGCCAGGCCCCGCGGCUUCAUUGGAACUUUGGAGGCGGCGGAGGGGAAAUCGGGGGAAAACACGCACCCGCUUCGACCUCCAGACGGAGCCGGGGCUCGCGUGACGUUCUGUUCGCCGCAGGCUUCGAGAGCGAGACCGUGUGCGGCUUCGUCUCACUUCCUUGCCGCUGCUUGGCUUUCCCUGUCCGCCUGCCUUUGCCUCCUUACCCACCUUACCCGUUCGUGCCGUCCACCUGGGGCCCAUCGGGCUGUUGGGUGUUCAGGCUGCAGGUGUGAUGCUGCUCCUUCCGGUGAUGAUGACGCCACUGAGCUGGUCCAGGCAGGUGGAGACCAGGGAGGGAAGACGCUGACAACCUGCGAACUAUAGAAGCGUCUGCAGCUGAGGGAAAGGGGCCAGGCUCCCCGCGGUGCGGAAGGGCGAGCCCCGCGGGGCUGACUAUCUUGGUUGGUAGAAAUGUUCCUGAGGAGAUGUUGUCUGAAGACUAUGGACCAAUAUUUUGACCUCUCUUGAUUUUGGAGGCUCUAUUAGAAACAGCGCGGACUCUUACUCCAACAUGACUGGUGUCCUUACGUGAAGAGAAGAGACACACACACAGAGAACAUCAUGUGAGGGCACGGAGGUGAGAGGGAAGAUGGCCAUUGGAGUCAUGUACCUACAGCCAAGGUCCCCAAGGAUUAUGGGUAACCACUGGGAGCUGAGAGGCAGGGAAUGCGUUCUUCCUUGAAGCCCACCACAGGGAACCAGCCCUGUCAACACAUCGAUUUGGGACUUCUAGCUGCCAGGGCUUUGCCUGCCUGCCCUUUUUGUGUUUAUCUUGUUAAGCACUGCCAGGCUUAAAAUACAGACCCCUAGAGGGCAAGAUUCAUAUCUAUAUGGAAUGUGCUGUAGAACGACUCAUGCCUCAUACUCUUAUGCACAAAUUAUUUUUGAAGAACCUAGUUGCUUCCUUUGAAGACUUCUCUCCAGCAGGAGUGACUUGCAAUUUGCAGUGACACUUAAAUCCUCCUGAGUGCUGAAGACGUAUACUGAAAUAAAUUAUACUGAA